ACAAUGAAGAGUUUGAUCCUGGCUCAGGAUGAACGCUAGCGACAGGCUUAACACAUGCAAGUCGAGGGGCAUCGCGGGUAGCAAUACUUGGCGGCGACCGGCGGACGGGUGCGUAACACGUAUACAACCUGCCUUUAAUUAAGGGAUAAUUCGGAGAAAUUCGGACUAAUACUUUAUAAUAUAUAUUAGUGGCAUCAUUAAUAUAUUAAAGAUUUUAUUGAUUAGAGAUGGGUAUGCGUUAGAUUAGAUAGUUGGUAAGGUAACGGCUUACCAAGUCAAUGAUCUAUAGGGGAACUGAGAGGUUUGUCCCCCACACUGGUACUGAGACACGGACCAGACUCCUACGGGAGGCAGCAGUGAGGAAUAUUGGUCAAUGGGCGGGAGCCUGAACCAGCCAAGUCGCGUGCAGGAAGACGGCGUUUUACGUUGUAAACUGCUUUUGUAAAGGGAUAAAAAAGAGGAAUUUUCCUUUCUUGCAGGUACUUUACGAAUAAGGAUCGGCUAACUCCGUGCCAGCAGCCGCGGUAAUACGGAGGAUUCGAGCGUUAUCCGGAUUUAUUGGGUUUAAAGGGUGCGUAGGCGGUAUUACAAGUCAGUGGUGAAAUCUUGGUGCUUAACAUUAAAAUUGCCAUUGAAACUGUCGUACUUGAGAGUAAAUGAGGCAGGCGGAAUGUGGCGUGUAGCGGUGAAAUGCAUAGAUAUGCCACAGAACACCGAUUGCGAAGGCAGCUUGCUGGGAUACGUCUGACGCUGAUGCACGAAGGCGUGGGGAUCAAACAGGAUUAGAUACCCUGGUAGUCCACGCAGUAAACGAUGAUUACUAACUGUUUGCGAUAUACUGUAAGUGGUUAAGCGAAAGCGAUAAGUAAUCCACCUGGGGAGUACGACCGCAAGGUUGAAACUCAAAGGAAUUGACGGGGGCCCGCACAAGCGGAGGAACAUGUGGUUUAAUUCGAUGAUACGCGAGG
rnacentral:rRNA from 1 species